GCAUAUCAAUAAGCGGAGGAAAAGAAACCAACAGGGAUUACCUCAGUAACGGCGAGUGAAGCGGUAAAAGCUCAAAUUUGAAAUCUUCGGAAUUGUAAUUUGAUGGAUAAAAUUGCUACGGUCGAAAGUUCACUGGAAAGUGACGCCAUAGAGGGUGAUAGCCCCGUAACGUCCACUGGCACUAUAAUUUUAUUCCAAAGAGUCGGGUUGUUUGGGAAUGCAGCUCAAAGUGGGUGGUAAAUUCCAUCUAAAGCUAAAUAUUGACGAGAGACCGAUAGCGAACAAGUACAGUGAUGGAAAGAUGAAAAGAACUUUGAAAAGAGAGUGAAACAGUACGUGAAAUUGUUGAAAGGGAAGGGGAGGGAAGAUGUUAAAGGGACUCCUUCAUUGUAGGGAUCCCCCCUAAAGAGUCUUUCCUCUCGCCCGUCUUGAAACACGGACCAAGGAGUCUAACGAUUAUGCAAGUAUUUGAGUCAACCCCCAAAUGCGUAAUGAAAGUAAUUGGUCAACCCUACCCUCCUGUCCUAAAGGGCGGGAGAGGAAGCAUAAUUAUUAGGACCCGAAAGAUGGUGAACUAUACCUGGAUAGGGUGAAGCCAGAGGAAACUCUGGUGGAAGCUCGUAGCGGUUCUGACGUGCAAAUCGAUCGUCAAAUC
rnacentral:rRNA from 1 species